rnacentral:rRNA from 1 species
CCUACGGGAGGCAGCAGUGAGGAAUAUUGGUCAAUGGCCGGGAGGCUGAACCAGCCAAGUCGCGUGAGUGAAGACGGCCCUACGGGUUGUAAACCUCUUUUGUCAGGGGGCAAGGUGCAGGUCGGGACCUGCUGUGAGAGUACCUGAAGAAAAAGCAUCGGCUAACUCCGUGCCAGCCGCCGCGGUAAUACGGAGGAUGCGAUUGUAAUCCGGAUUUAUUGGGUUAAAGGGGUGGGCAGGCGGAGGAACAAGUUAGCGGUAAAAUCGCGGGGCUCAACCCCGCUCCGCCGUUGAAACUGUUACCCUUGAGUGCGCUAAGGGGAGGCGGAAUGCGUGGUGUAGCGGUGAAAUGCAUAGAGAUCACGCAGAACUCCGAUCGCGAAGGCAGCCUACCGGCG